rnacentral:rRNA from 1 species
CACGUAGGGUGCAAGCGUUGUCCGGAUUCAUUGGGCGUAAAGGGCUAGUAGGCGGCUUAGCAAGUCGGGUGUGAAAUUUCCAGGCUUAACCUGGAACCGCCAUCCGAUACUGCUAUGGCUAGAGUCCGGUAGGGGACCACGGAAUACCUGGUGUAGCGGUGAAAUGCGCAGAUAUCAGGUGGAACACCGAUGGCGAAGGCGGCGUCUGGUCCGGUACUGACGCUGAGUGACGAAAGCGUGGGGAGCAAACAGG